rnacentral:rRNA from 1 species
UGGGGGAUAUUGCACAAUGGGCGAAAGCCUGAUGCAGCGACGCCGCGUGGGGGAUGAAGGCCUUCGGGUUGUAAACUUCUUUUGCUCUGAACAAGGCAUGCUAAUGGGUGUGUUGAGUGUAGGGGUUGAUUAGCGCCGGCUAACUACGUGCCAGCAGCCGCGGUAAUACGUAGGGCGCGAGCGUUGUCCGGAAUUAUUGGGCGUAAAGGGCUUGUAGGUGGCUGGUUGCGUCUGUCGUGAAAGCUCAUGGCUUAACUGUGGGUUUGCGGUGGGUACGGGCUGGCUUGAGUGCAGUAGGGGAGGCUGGAAUUCCUGGUGUAGCGGUGGAAUGCGCAGAUAUCAGGAGGAAUACCGGUGGCGAAGGCGGGUCUCUGGGCUGUUACUGACGCUGAGGAGCGAAAGCAUGGGGAGCGAACAGG